AUUCACUUGAAUACUAUGCAUUCAACAUGAAAGCAACUGUUGAAGAUGAGAAACAUCAAGGCAAGAUCAAUGAUGAGGACAAACAGAAGAUUCUUGACAUGUGUAAUGAAAUUAUAAACUGGCUUGAUAAGAACCAGACUGCAGAGAAGGAAGAAUCUGAACGUCAGCAGAAGGAGCUGGAGAAAGUCUGCAACCCUAUCAUCACCAAGCUGUACCAGAGUGCAGGAGGCAUGCCAGGAGGAAUGUCUGGGGGCUUCCCAGGUGGUGGAGCUCCUCCUCCUGGUGGUGUUUCCUCAGGCCCCACCAUUGAAGAGGUUGAUUAAGCCAACCCAAGCAUAGAUGCAGCAGUGUUCCACACA